AGGUAAGACGACUUUUGGUUUAAACCACUUGGCAGAUCUCAGUCAGAAAGAAUUCUCUCGCAUAGUUUUAAUGCCAAAGAGAAGGGCACCUGUCUUUGAGAAGGAAAGAUAUGUCAGAAGUUCACUAUCGGGAUCUCUUCCCGAUUCAUUUGAUUGGACAAACCAGAGCAAGGUGACAGCUGUCAAAGAUCAAGGCGCUGCUGGGUCAUGCUGGGCUUUUAGCGCCAUCGGGAAUAUAGAGGGACAAUGGGCGAUGAUGGGCAAACCUUUGACCAAUUUCUCAGUGGAGCAGAUUGUCGACUGUGAUGGAAUGGAGGAUGUUGCCAAGGGAGAGGCUGACUGUGGCGUGUUUGGAGGCUGGCCGUUUCUGGCUUAUCAAUACGUCAUGAGAGCCGGUGGUCUAGAGACAUGGGAAGACUACUGGUACUGUUCCGGUCUAGGUGGCGCUCCGGGCACCUUACUGUAACAUGUCCCAGAGUUGCGUGACCAAGCUUGACGUCAGCAAAUUCCACCCUGGACUGAAAGUAAUGUCAUGGAAGGCAAUUGACCAGAACGAGACAUCGAUCGCCGAACAGCUGAUCAAGCUGGGCCCCCUGUCUGUGGCGCUAAACGCCGAGCUGUUACAGUUCUAUCACCACGGAAUCUUUGAUCCGCCCUCAUUUGUUUGUGAUCCAAAGAAUUUAGAUCAUGCUGUGUUGCUGGUUGGAUAUGGAUCGGAAAAAUCUAUAUUUGGAACAAAAGACUACUGGAAGAUCAAAAACUCCUGGGGUCCAAAGUGGGGCGAGAAUGGGUACUUCCGAAUGCUCCGCGGGCAAGGAAAGUGUGGAAUCAACACAGCAGUGACCUCCGCCGUACUAGCCCGGAUGUAGAGUGACCACGCGACCAUUGGCCACGGAAUGACUCAGAAACCGAACAACGAAGUCAAUCAUCAUCAUGAUUGCCUAGAUCAUGUUUGCUUUGCUAAUGUGUUCUUUUUUUGUAUUCACUUUAGGCUUACUUUUCAUAAUUAAGGAGACUGUAACAAUAUUGUUUCAUGUGCACAUUUUUUAGUACAGUUUGAUAUGCAUGUUGAGGGACAAAAAUGAUGUCCCUCAUUACAGGCUUGCAAGUGCUAUAAGUGUGUUUACAUUGUUUUAUAACUAUUUAAUUAUGACUUGUGGGUGUUAUCAUACUAUUGGCAGAAGUAUUACUAGAUUGUUUUGUUUUCAACUGCGUGCAAAAACUAAUUAUCAUGAAAUGAUAUUUUCACUAAUUUGUUUAUAAAUUAAAGCAGAUCAGAAAUAUAUUACCUAUUUGCCAUCAGAAUAUUCAUUUAAUAAACUGUUACGUUUUCACUUUUACUUCUUAUUGUUAUUUUUUAUGUUGUUCAAUAUAUUUCUAUAAUUAAUAAAGACGAUAGAUGGAAACUCUUCAGAUG
rnacentral:misc_RNA from 1 species